rnacentral:miRNA from 1 species
CGGGCCGGAGGUCAAGGGCGU